GCAGACACAUUCCAGCCAAUCAGCAGCAGACCCUCCCUCCCAGACCCUCCCACCUCCUGGACAGCAUCCCUUUUGAAGCUGCAUUCUUAGUGAGCUGUCCAGGAGGUGGGAGGGUCUGGGAGGGAGGGUCUGCUGCUGAUUGGCUGGAAUGUGUCUG